GUGAUGGUAGAGGGGUAAUAUGGAGGAAUGCGUUAGUGAUGGUAGAGGGGUAAUAUGGAGGAAUGUGUUAGUGAUGGUAGAGAGGUAAUAUGGAGGAAUGUGUUAGUGAUGGUAGAGGGGCAAUAUGGAGGAAUGUGUUAGUGAUGGUAGAGAGGUAAUAUGGAGGAAUGCGUUAGUGAUGGUAGAGGGGUAAUAUGGAGGAAUGUGUUAGUGAUGGUAGAGGGGUAAUAUGGAGGAAUGUGUUAGUGAUGGUAGAGGGGUAAUAUGGAGGAAUGUGUUAGUGAUGGUAGAGAGGUAAUAUGGAGGAAUGUGUUAGUGAUGGUAGAGAGGCAAUAUGGAGGAAUGUGUUAGUGAUGGUAGAGAGGUAAUAUGGAGGAAUGUGUUAGUGAUGGUAGAGAGGUAAUAUGGAGGAAUGUGUUAGUGAUGGUAGAGAGGUAAUAUGGAGGAAUGUGUUAG